rnacentral:rRNA from 1 species
AUUGAACGCUGGCGGCAUGCUUUACACAUGCGAGUCGAACGGCAGCGCGGGCUUCGGCCUGGCGGCGAGUGGCGAACGGGUGAGUAAUACAUCGGAACGUGCCCAGUAGUGGGGGAUAGCUCGGCGAAAGCCGGAUUAAUACCGCAUACGACCUGAGGGUGAAGGCGGGGGAUCUUCGGACCUCGCGCUAUUGGAGCGGCCGAUGGCAGAUUAGCUAGUUGGUGGGGUAAAGGCCUACCAAGGCGACGAUCUGUAGCUGGUCUGAGAGGACGACCAGCCACACUGGGACUGAGACACGGCCCAGACUCCUACGGGAGGCAGCAGUGGGGAAUUUUGGACAAUGGGCGAAAGCCUGAUCCAGCAAUGCCGCGUGUGUGAUGAAGGCCUUCGGGUUGUAAAGCACUUUUGGCGGGAACGAAAAGGACUGUGCCAAUACCACGGUUCGAUGACGGUACCCGCAGAAUAAGCACCGGCUAACUACGUG